rnacentral:rRNA from 1 species
GAGACCGAGGGGUGCCCUUCGGGGAGCUCAAAGACAGGUGCUGCAUGGCUGUCGUCAGCUCGUGUCGUGAGAUGUUCGGUUAAGUCCGGCAACGAGCGCCACCCUCGCCAUUAGUUGCCAGCAUUUCGGAUGGGCACUCUAGUGGGACUGCCUAUGAAAGUAGGAGGAAGGCGGGGAUGAUGUCUAGUCAGCAUGGUCCUUACGGCCUGGGCGACACACGUGCUACAAUGGCCGGUACAACGCGCUGCCACCUCGCGAGAGGGAGCUAAUCGUUAAAGCCGGUCCCAGUUCAGAUUGCAGUCUGCAACUCGACUGCAUGAAGUUGGAAUCGCUAGUAAUCGCGGAUCAGCCAUGCCGCGGUGAAUACGUUCCCGGGUCUUGUACACACCG